rnacentral:rRNA from 1 species
GGAGAAGCUUGCUUCUUUGCUGACGAGUGGCGGACGGGUGAGUAAUGCUUGGGAAUCUGGCUUAUGGAGGGGGAUAACUACGGGAAACUGUAGCUAAUACCGCGUAAUAUCUUCGGAUUAAAGGGUGGGACUUUCGGGCCACCUGCCAUAAGAUGAGCCCAAGUGGGAUUAGGUAGUUGGUGGGGUAAAGGCCUACCAAGCCGACGAUCUCUAGCUGGUCUGAGAGGAUGACCAGCCACACUGGAACUGAGACACGGUCCAGACUCCUACGGGAGGCAGCAGUGGGGAAUAUUGCACAAUGGGGGGAACCCUGAUGCAGCCAUGCCGCGUGAAUGAAGAAGGCCUUCGGGUUGUAAAGUUCUUUCGGUGAUGAGGAAGGUGUUUGUUUUAAUAGAGCAAGCAAUUGACGUUAGUCACAGAAGAAGCACCGGCUAACUCCGUGCCAGCAGCCGCGGUAAUACGGAGGGUGCGAGCGUUAAUCGGAAUGACUGGGCGUAAAGGGCACGCAGGCGGUGACUUAAGUGAGAUGUGAAAGCCCCGAGCUUAACUUGGGAAUUGCAUUUCAUACUGGGUCGCUAGAGUACUUUAGGGAGGGGUAGAAUUCCUCGUGUAGCGGUGAAAUGCGUAGAGAUGUGGAG